AGAGUUUGAUCCUGGCUCAGAGUGAACGCUGGCGGUAGGCCUAACACAUGCAAGUCGAACGGCAGCACGGUAAGAGCUUGCUCUUAUGGGUGGCGAGUGGCGGACGGGUGAGGAAUACAUCGGAAUCUACCUUUUGGUGGGGGAUAACGUAGGGAAACUUACGCUAAUACCGCAUACGCCCUUCGGGGGAAAGCCGGGGACCAGCAAUGGCCUGGUGCUGAUAGAUGAGCCGAUGUCGGAUUAGCUAGUUGGUGAGGUAAUGGCUCACCCAAGGCGACGAUCCGUAGCUGGUCUGAGAGGAAUGAUCAGCCACACUGGAACUGAGACACGGUCCAGACUCCUACGGGGAGGCAGCAGUGGGGGAAUAUUGGACAAUGGGCGCAAGCCUGAUCCAGCCAUACCGCGUGGGUGAAGAAGGCCUUCGGGUUGUAAAGCCCUUUUGUUGGGAAAGAAAAGCAUUCGGUUAAUACCCGGGUGUUCUGACGGUACCCAAAGAAUAAGCACCGACUAACUUCGUGCCAGCAGCCGCGGUAAUACGAAGGGUGCAAGCGUUACUCGGAAUUACUGGGCGUAAAGCGUGCGUAGGUGGUGGUUUAAGUCCGUUGUGAAAGCCCUGGGCUCAACCUGGGAAUUGCAGUGGAUACUGGAUCACUAGAGUGUGGUAGAGGAUAGUGGAAUUUCCGGUGUAGCAGUGAAAUGCGUAGAGAUCGGAAGGAACAUCUGUGGCGAAGGCGACUAUCUGGGCCAACACUGACACUGAGGCACGAAAGCGUGGGGAGCAAACAGGAUUAGAUACCCUGGUAGUCCACGCCCUAAACGAUGCGAACUGGAUGUUGGGUUCAACUUGGAACCCAGUAUCGAAGCUAACGCGUUAAGUUCGCCGCCUGGGGAGUACGGUCGCAAGACUGAAACUCAAAGGAAUUGACGG
rnacentral:rRNA from 1 species